CCUACGGGAGGCUGCCGUGGGGAAUAUUGGACAAUGGGCGAAAGCCUGAUCCAGCCAUGCCGCGUGUGUGAAGAAGGCCUUCGGGUUGUAAAGCACUUUCAGUGGGGAAGAAAGCCUUGGGGCUAAUACCCUCGAGGAAGGACAUCACCCACAGAAGAAGCACCGGCUAACUCCGUGCCAGCAGCCGCGGUAAUACGGAGGGUGCGAGCGUUAAUCGGAAUUACUGGGCGUAAAGCGCGCGUAGGCGGUCUGAUAAGCCGGUUGUGAAAGCCCCGGGCUCAACCUGGGAACGGCAUCCGGAACUGUCAGGCUAGAGUGCAGGAGAGGAAGGUAGAAUUCCCGGUGUAGCGGUGAAAUGCGUAGAGCUCGGGAGGAAUACCAGUGGCGAAGGCGGCCUUCUGGACUGACACUGACGCUGAGGUGCGAAAGCGUGGGUAGCAAACAGGAUUAGAUACCCCAGUAGUC
rnacentral:rRNA from 1 species